AUUGAACGCUGGCGGCAGGCCUAACACAUGCAAGUCGAACGAGUGGCGGACGGGUGAGUAAUGUCUGAGAAACUGCCUGAUGGAGGGGGCUAACUACUGGAAACGGUAGCUAAUACCGCAUACCAUCGGAUGUUCCCAGGUGGGAUUAGCUAGUAGGUGGGGUAAAGGCUCACCUGGGCGACGAUCCCUAGCUGGUCUGAGAGGAUGAACAGCAACACUGGAACUGAGACACGGGCCAGACUCCUACGGGAGGCAGCAGUGGGGAAUAUUGCACAAGGGGCGCAAGCCGGAUGCAGCCAUGCCGCGUGUAUGAAGAAGGCCUUCGGGUUGUAAAGUACUUUCAGCGGGGAGGCGUUACCCGCAGAAGAAGCACCGGCUAACUCCGUGCCAGCAGCCGCGGUAAUAC
rnacentral:rRNA from 1 species